UCCGUAGGCGGACUAAUAAGUCAGGGGUGAAAUCCCACAGCUUAACUGUGGAACUGCCUUUGAUACUGUUAGUCUUGAGUUAUAUGGAAGUAGAUAGAAUGUGUAGUGUAGCGGUGAAAUGCAUAGAUAUUACACAGAAUACCGAUUGCGAAGGCAGUCUACUACGUAUAUACUGACGCUAAUGGACGAAAGCGUGGGGAGCGAACAGGAUUAGAUACCCUGGUAGUC
rnacentral:rRNA from 1 species